rnacentral:lncRNA from 1 species
UAUGAGAUAAACUAAAUACAGCAACAAAAAAAGGGGAACACAAGAAUGAAAUUUUGUGUGGAGUUACUUGGUAGUUGGUGAUGAUAUUCCCCUACAACAGCGCUAGAAAUCCUUCCUGAUACUCGUGAUGUGCGUUGGGUUUUCUGUGAAGAGGAACGAGUUAUUGCAACACAAAGUGGGUAAGUAUUUUCCUCAGUUAUGAAACCAAGGUUUAU